rnacentral:lncRNA from 1 species
UCAGAAGAAAAGGAGACUGAAGAGAACAAAGAACUCACUGAUACAUGUAAAGAAAGAGAAAGUGAUACUGGGAAGAAGAAAGUAGAACAUGAAAUUUCCGAAGGAAAUGUUGCCACAGCCGCAGCAGCUGCUCUUGCCUCAGCGGCUACCAAAGCCAAGCACCUGGCUGCAGUGGAAGAAAGAAAGAUCAAGUCCCUGGUAGCUCUCUUGGUUGAGACACAAAUGAAGAAACUAGAGAUCAAACUUCGACAUUUUGAAGAGCUGGAAACUAUCAUGGACAGAGAGAAAGAAGCUCUAGAACAACAGAGGCAGCAGUUGCUUACUGAACGCCAAAACUUCCACAUGGAACAGCUGAAGUAUGCUGAAUUACGAGCACGACAGCAAAUGGAACAGCAGCAGCAUGGCCAGAACCCUCAACAGGCACACCAGCACUCAGGAGGACCUGGCCUGGCCCCACUUGGAGCAGCAGGGCACCCUGGCAUGAUGCCUCAUCAACAGCCCCCUCCCUACCCUCUGAUGCACCACCAGAUGCCACCACCUCAUCCACCCCAGCCAGGUCAGAUACCAGGCCCAGGUUCCAUGAUGCCCGGGCAGCACAUGCCAGGCCGCAUGAUUCCCACUGUUGCAGCCAACAUCCACCCCUCUGGGAGUGGCCCUACCCCUCCUGGCAUGCCACCAAUGCCAGGAAACAUCUUAGGACCCCGGGUACCCCUGACAGCACCUAACGGCAUGUAUCCCCCUCCACCACAGCAGCAGCCACCGCCACCACCACCUGCAGAUGGGGUCCCUCCGCCUCCUGCUCCUGGCCCGCCAGCCUCAGCUGCUCCUUAGCCUGGAAGAUGCAGGGAACCUCCACGCCCACCACCAUGAGCUGGAGUGGGGAUGACAAGACUUGUGUUCCUCAACUUUCUUGGGUUUCUUUCAGGAUUUUUCUUCUCACAGCUCCAAGCACGUGUCCCGUGCCUCCCCACUCCUCUUACCACCCCUCUCUCUGACACUUUUUGUGUUGGGUCCUCAGCCAACACUCAAGGGGAAACCUGUAGUGACAGUGUGCCCUGGUCAUCCUUAAAAUAACCUGCAUCUCCCCUGUCCUGGUGUGGGAGUAAGCUGACAGUUUCUCUGCAGGUCCUGUCAACUUUAGCAUGCUAUGUCUUUACCAUUUUUGCUCUCUUGCAGUUUUUUGCUUUGUCUUAUGCUUCUAUGGAUAAUGCUAUAUAAUCAUUAUCUUUUUAUCUUUCUGUUAUUAUUGUUUUAAAGGAGAGCAUCCUAAGUUAAUAGGAACCAAAAAAUAAUGAUGGGCAGAAGGGGGGGAAUAGCCACAGGGGACAAACCUUAAGGCAUUAUAAGUGACCUUAUUUCUGCUUUUCUGAGCUAAGAAUGGUGCUGAUGGUAAAGUUUGAGACUUUUGCCACACACAAAUUUGUGAAAAUUAAACGAGAUGUGGAAGGAG